rnacentral:rRNA from 1 species
CCUACGUGAGGCAGCAGUGAGGAAUAUUGGUCAAUGGACGGAAGUCUGAACCAGCCAUGCCGCGUGCAGGAAGACGGCUCUAUGAGUUGUAAACUGCUUUUGUACAAGGGUAAACCUGAAUACGUGUAUUCUGCUGAAAGUACUGUACGAAUAAGGAUCGGCUAACUCCGUGCCAGCAGCCGCGGUAAUACGGAGGAUCGAAGCGUUAUCCGGAUUUAUUGGGUUUAAAGGGUGCGUAGGCGGAUUGAUCAGUUAGAGGUGAAAUGUCCGAGCUUAACUCGGGAACUGCCUCUAAUACUGUUGAUCUAGAGAGUAGAUGCGGUAGGCGGAAUGUAUGGUGUAGCGGUGAAAUGCUUAGAGAUCAUACAGAACACCGAUUGCGAAGGCAGCUUACCAAUCUAUAUCUGACGUUGAGGCACAAAAGCGUGGGGAGCAAACAGGAUUAGAUACCCGGGUAGUC